UGGUUAGGUAGAUGAGCAAGCAGUAAAUACUGAUUAGCAUAGCUAGCCAAAACUAGUCUCCUCACAACUGUCCAGAGGACUACAAAGGCACUGAGGUGAUCGGUCUUCUGAGAAAGAAAAGAAAAGCUUAUUUCUGGUUCUAGUAUGAAGAUAAGUCAGAAAAUACCAGGCAAUGGAUCCUGCUCUGUUCAUGGAAGGAAGCAUCGCCAAGGACUGAGUCCUUGUUAAAAGAAUGACACAAGCUGCCUUGUUUUUGAUCCAUGCUCCUGUAAACAAGACACAUUUACAGUGCCAUUAAAAAGAAAUAUUUGCAGGCAUGUGGGAAAUCUUUCACUGACAUGGUCCCAUCUGAAAGGGCAUUGUGUCUGGAUAAUGGAAUUGCUCUGGUUGGAAGAGACCUUUAGGAUCAUCAAGUUCAAGAUCAUCCCAUUACCUCAGGGUGUAAGAAGGGAAGAUGUGCUCUGGACAGUGGCGAAAACCUCAGUUUGUGGAAUUUCCAGAUCCCUUAGUCUAUGUAUGUCCAGCAGUACUCCAGUUUGAUAGCACUUGUGAAAGACAACAUAGAACAAACCGCCUAGAGCUUAUAAGAGAAUGUACAAACACCAGGAGGGACAAAGCCUUGAACACCCAUGUGCUGCAGUGAACCUCAGCCCAUCUGAGCACGCGGUAUCUCCUUCACCCCUUGUCACCGUGCAGAUCUAGUCUUCAGCUGCUGUAGCCCGUCUUAGACCAACCUUCAUGAUGACCAGCAUGACCCUGACUUUAUCCCCACUUGUAUUGCCCUGGUGCGUGUUGAGGUGGGCCAUGUCCUUUAUGAUAUCUUGAAUACCCAGACCUGGAGAAAUUUCCUUAAGAUUCAGUUUCAGGUCUCAUUCAUACUUUAGUGUAGUUCAAAGAAGACUAAAUGUUGCCUGAURUGCUCU